AUGGGUAAAUUCUGUGCCAUGGAAGUUUGGUGUAUGGAUAAUUUUACCAUCCAGGUAAUCAGCAUGAUAUUCAACAGGGUACAUGUGCAGGAUGUGCAGAAUCUCUUUACAAUCUUCAUGGAAUUUUUAUUUAUCCAUUUAUUCUUGAAAGAAGAGAGAGAAUUCAGGCUGGAAGUCUGCUCACAAACACAGCUUUUUGGUUUAAGUCCUUACAUUAUUUUUUCAGUGCAUCUCAGAUUUCUGCUGUGAGAUAUUCAGAUAGAGGGCUGAUAAAUGCAAAUUUACACUAGCACUGUAGAAACCCAACUAUCUGAGAGAAGCAAAGGGCAGGCUUAAAUACAGAACUUUCCCAGCACAGGAAAGAAUUCUUUGUGCAGUUUCUUCUGUAUUUGGCAAAGCUGGUGCACCAGAAUACAAUGGCCAGGUCCAUACCCAGCCUCAGGGCCUGUGAGGCUGCUCUUGUGCCUCCUGGUUUGACUCCCUCCUUGUCAUUAAGGAGCCAUUCUUAGGGUGGGCAAAUAUAAUACAGAAUGCCUGGUUAAACUUUAAUUGCAGACAAAUGAUGAAUACAUUUUUAGUUUAAGCACGUGCCAAAUAUUGGGCAGGAAAAUGCAAUGACAGCUUAAGAAAAAGCUUUCAUUGUUUAUCUGAAAUUCAAAUGUAACUGGGCAUCCUGCAUUUUGUUUGCUACAUCUGUGAAAACCUAGACAUGCCACACCCAGUUGAUUUCCUUGUGUAUUGUCAAGAAGCUAAGAGAACUGGUGACACCAUUGACUCAUCUCAAGUCAGGCUGCCAGAGUGUAAAUCUUAGUUCCUUUACUCAUUAUCUGACCUUGGGCAAGUUACUUAAACUGUCUGUACCUUAAUUUACUUACCUAUGAAUUUCAUUUAAUAACUGUUCCUAUGUUCCAGGGUCAAUAGGAGCAUUAAGUGUGACAAUUCAUGUUAAGUAUUUUAAAAAGUAACUGGUACAUAAGAAGUACUCUAUAAAUAUGACUAUUUUUAUUAUUUCUACUGGGACAACAAGGAAAUGCUGCAGUGUCCCCCAACCGACUAAUAACAAAUGCUCUUUAACUGCAGCAGUAGAGGUAAUACCAAAUUUAAACUCUCCAUUUGCCCCAUAGAAUCUCCUUACUUCCCAUGUUCAUGCUUCCAAUUAAAAAAGGUGUCAGUGGUCUGGCAGACCGUCCUCUGAUUACUUCCUGAGAGUCUGAACCACUUACUCCAGAGGGACAUUCUGAACCAGGCUUCGGUGCCUUGUCAUUUCAUCUGCACUAAAUCUAGCAGAAAUACUUUGCUAUUUCUGACAAUGGAAGUAAUAACCGUCCUCUGGUCCUUUAACUGAUGCAUAUGAGUGUCUAUUUUUAUAUUCCUUUGGUCAUUUCAGGAAAUAUGUAACAGGAUGGAAAUUAGAUCCCUAGAUUUGAAUUAGCAGAUUUCUCAGUUUUCUGGAGCAUAAGCAAAACCUUUAUUUUGUUUUAAUCACCUGAUUGUAUUGAUAGUUAAUAAGUAGUACAAUACUUAAAAUUCAGAAAGACAACAGUGGAGAAAAGAGCUUUCACCAUGAGUGCCAUUUACUGUCCCACUUCUGUGUUGUUUAUAAAUUUCAGCUUAAACCACCUCACUAGCUCUUUCCACCUUAAUGUAUGAAAUUCUCUUUCUGUAGUUAAUGUAAUACAGACCUAAUCCUUAUGCAAUAAUUCUAGCCUAGGCCUCUUUCCAGUCCUCUGGAGUUAUUUAUAUGCAAUUUUCAAACAGAGGUGAUCUUUCCUAUAUGCACUAAUAAUAUUUACAUUUUUAAAUGGAACACAGACUGAAAGUUGAGGUAAAAGGUUAGGAGGUCAAAGAAACAUGGAGAUUAGAUCUUUAACCAAGGCAGACUGUUACAUAUUGAAAAUAUCAAUAUCAUAUUUUGCAACGUUUAUGUUCUCAUUGGAAACAUAGAUGCCUAAUAAAGGGAAGAUUAUUUUUUCAAAAGAACAACUGUGUUUGUCAACAACUGUUAAGUAGAUCAUAUUAAGUUUAGUGGCUUUUAGGAUAAAAAUAUAUCUGAAAAUGGCAAAUAAUAAAGUCUAAUACAGUGGAUGAAAGGGAAUGGAAAUAAUGACUGGUUAUAUUUCAAACAAUCAGUGACAGAAAAGCAAAUGGAAAAUUAAUGAAGCCAGUUUUUCAAGAGGUGAAGUCACUAUUUGCAGGACAGCUAAAUGUGAAAAGUCUGUUUUAAUGGUGCUGUAUACAAUCUCAAAGAAUUAAAAUUUUAACAAACAGACAACGUGGGAUGAAUACAGAUUCAAAGCAAGACCUGAAAGCAAAAAGUAGGCUAACUGAAGAAUGUCCCCACGUUCCUGUUUCUCUGGACUCAUUCCUCCUGAGAAUGACAGAGUUUUAUGAAAGGGCAGUGUGUAGACCUCCUGUUAGCUAGCACAGGUCUUGUUCUCACUCUAUAGUAGACUAGGCUAUAAAAGACUUGCUGUAAUCGCUGAUGCUUCUGCUCUCUACUGUAUGAAGAGAUAUCUUUUGCAGAGAUAAUGAAUAGCUCCUUCCGUGUCUCACAGAAGUUGCCUACAGUAUAGCUCCAGUGGUGGAGGCUUGUACUACCAAUGCUAAGCAUUCUGAUGUAUAAUUCUCCUUGUACAUGUUGGCUCUAGUUGUUGAGUCUCAUGCCUGGUUGUCUGAAACUAAAAUUGAUUUAUAAUUUACCCUUAGAAAAUAUAACAGUUACAACAUUCAACCUCUAAUAUAUGUGUUAGAUCAGAAGUAAGCAAACUCUUUCUUUAGGUGGCCAGAGAGUAAAUAUUUUAGGCUUUGUGGACUAUAUGAUCUUUACGGCAGCUGUUCAAUUCUGUCAUUAUAGGCAAACGUAGCCAUAGAAAAUAUGCAAAUAAAUGGGCAUGGCUGUGUUCCAAUAAGCCUACAUUUACAAAAAUGAAUACCAGGCCUACGGGCCUUAGUUUUGCAAUCUUUGUGCUAGAUAAACCAUUUUCAUGUUAUAAAGUAAUAGAUUGCUCUGUUAUUUUUUAAAUUAAAAUGUUAAACAAGGGUACAUUAUUUUGUUUCUUACUUCUCUGAAGUAUAUAAUAUAUAAUUAAUAUAACUGUUAUAUAUAUGUGUGUUGUUUAUAUAUAUAAACGAUAUAUUAUAUUUAAACUUUUAUAAAUAAG
rnacentral:lncRNA from 1 species